GGGGUAAACAUAAUGGAUGUUGACCUUUUGAUCUUGAUCUCUCAAUUUUUAUCUAAAAAAAUCUUGCUCUCUUGAUUUUUAUCUAAUUUUUGGCUCUCUCGACCAGUAUGAUGUAAUCUGUGGAGGUGUCUUCAGGAUCGGUGGUGCAUCGGAAAAGAUGACAUGAAGGAGUUGUGCAUGUUUUACCUUCGACUACAUACUACAUAUGGUUGCAACCAACCUUAACAGCAUAACCUCGCUACAUCAAUCGUUGAGUUCCACUUAAAGAAAUGGUAAACAUAGAUCUAAAACUUGACAAUUUGAACCCUUGAUUGAUGCAAGAGAUUGAAGAUACAACUCAUGGAAUCUGAAGAAUUAGAAAAAAGGUCAAAAUUCAUUUUUAUUUCGAAAGUGGACAGUUGACUUUUUUAUUUAACUGACUCUGAACGUCCAAGACUAGGCCUACCAGGCUACCACAAGGUCACCUCAGUUGAUUUCAGACUAGGCGAGCUCCUGGAUAGCCUUUGCAAUUCGAUGCUCGGUCAUUAGUGGUCACUUGGGAUGGGUGUGAUCUGUAGCAUUUGAUCCAGGGAACAAAUGGUUUUGUCUUGGUUCUGCUGAUAGGGCAAUAACGGCAAGGAAGAAGGUUGUAGAGUGCGGGUGGAUGUGAAAAGGAAGAGGAUGGAUGCGAGAAGAGAGAAGAGGGGUGAAAGAGGAUAUGGCUAGAAAGAGGGAGAAGGACAGGGUGGAGGCGCUUCUUGAGGAUUUUUGUCUGACUGAUUUCAUACUCUCUUAUAAAUCAUGGUUAGCUAGGUAAACCUUUUGUACGACAGCUCUUUUUCAAAAGGAAGUUUGAUCUUUCGGCUUCUUAUUUUAGGUCAAUAUCAAGUACAGUUUAGUUAAUUUAUAUUAAUGUUUAUGUUUGAAAUUGACGAUUACCAUUCUGGUUGAAUGGGGGCAUGGAUAGAAGAGAUUGCGAGUCGGGUAUGGUGAUGCCAA